rnacentral:tRNA from 1 species
GAGGGUAUAGCUCAGUGGUAGAGUGUGUGCCUAACAUGCACGAGGUCCUGGGUUCAAUCCCCAGUACCUCCA